rnacentral:rRNA from 1 species
ACGGGUGAGUAACACGUAUCCAACCCGCCGUCUACUCUUGGACAGCCUUCUGAAAGGAAAGAAUUAAUACAAGAUGGCAUCAUGAGUUCACAUGUUCACAUGAUUAAAGGUAUUCCGGUAGACGAUGGGGAUGCGUUCCAUUAGAUAGUAGGCGGGGUAACGGCCCACCUAGUCUUCGAUGGAUAGGGGUUCUGAGAGGAAGGUCCCCCACAUUGGAACUGAGACACGGUCCAA